AUUGAACGCUGGCGGAAUGCUUUACACAUGCAAGUCGAACGGCAGCACGGGGCAACCUGGUGGCGAGUGGCGAACGGGUGAGUAAUACAUCGGAACGUGCCCAAUCGUGGGGGAUAACGUAGCGAAAGUUACGCUAAUACCGCAUACGAUCUACGGAUGAAAGCGGGGGAUCGCAAGACCUCGCGCGAAUGGAGCGGCCGAUGUCAGAUUAGGUAGUUGGUGGGGUAAAGGCUCACCAAGCCGACGAUCUGUAGCUGGUCUGAGAGGACGACCAGCCACACUGGGACUGAGACACGGCCCAGACUCCUACGGGAGGCAGCAGUGGGGAAUUUUGGACAAUGGGCGCAAGCCUGAUCCAGCCAUUCCGCGUGCAGGAUGAAGGCCUCGG
rnacentral:rRNA from 1 species